CCUACGGGGGGCUGCAGUGGGGAAUAUUGCACAAUGGGCGAAAGCCUGAUGCAGCGACGCCGCGUGAGCGAAGAAGGCCUUCGGGUCGUAAAGCUAUGUCCUAUGGGAAGAAAGAUGACGGUACCAUAGGGGGAAGCCCGGGCUAACUACGUUCCAGCAGCCGCGGUAAUACGUAGGGGGGGAGCGUUGUUCGGUAUGACUGGGCGUAAAGUGAACGUGGGCGGCUAGAUAAGUCAGAUGUGAAAGGCGUAGGCUUAACCGGUGUAAUUCUUUGAAACUGUGUAGCUUGAGUCAAGUAGAGGAAAGGGGAGUUCCUGGUGUAGCGUUGAAAUUCGUAGAUAUGAGGAGGAGUACCGGUGGCUAAGGCGACUUGCUGAACUUAGACUGAUGCUGAGGUACGAAAGCGUGGGGGGCAAACAGGAUGAGAUACUAUUUUAGUC
rnacentral:rRNA from 1 species